UUGUACCUUCAUCAGCACAAAUACAAAAAUAUUGAAAUGUUACAGGGAAUAUUUGCAUGGCUCCUAUGCCAGGAUAACAUGCACAUUUUUGACGUCUUAUGCAUUUUU